AAGUAUGGCUCCAAGCCUGAUGAUGUUAGGAGCAUAAUUGACCUGGUCAAGCACACUUACACCAGAGCUACACAUGUCUACAUGCCACAGCUUCUAGAGCACAUUGGGGAUUAAAAUAAAGAAAGAUCACGUGUAGUUGGGGAAGUAUUCCAAGUAUUGGCUGGCUAUCCCACGCUUCAUCUUCAGUUGUACAAGCCCCCAAUCCAGCCAUCCAUAGUCAAUUUUUUGAUUCCAAAUCAGAAACUUCCCAAAUUGGGCAACCCCUUUCCCAGCCGUCCGUGAUG
rnacentral:lncRNA from 1 species